CUAGGGGUGGGGGAUCUCUCAGCCCGGAUUGUGAGAGGGUGCAGGCCAGGCUAGGGACCCCAUUGGUGCAUG
rnacentral:pre_miRNA from 1 species